rnacentral:miRNA from 1 species
AUGCUUCUAUACAUGCCUGUGCAUACUUCUGUGUUUCUGUGAGUCUGUGUGUACACACACACACACACACACACACACACACACACACACACAC